UAGGGAAUCUUCCGCAAUGGGCGAAAGCCUGACGGAGCAACGCCGCGUGAGUGAUGAAGGUCUUCGGAUCGUAAAACUCUGUUAUUAGGGAAGAACAAAUGUGUAAGUAACUAUGCACGUCUUGACGGUACCUAAUCAGAAAGCCACGGCUAACUACGUGCCAGCAGCCGCGGUAAUACGUAGGUGGCAAGCGUUAUCCGGAAUUAUUGGGCGUAAAGCGCGCGUAGGCGGUUUUUUAAGUCUGAUGUGAAAGCCCACGGCUCAACCGUGGAGGGUCAUUAGAAGCUGGAAAACUUGAGUGCAGAAGAGGAGAGUGGAAUUCCAUGUGUAGCGGUGAAAUGCGCAGAGAUAUGGAGGAACACCAGUGGCGAAGGCGACUUUCUGGUCUGUAACUGACGCUGAUGUGCGAAAGCGUGGGGAUCAAACAGG
rnacentral:rRNA from 1 species